rnacentral:lncRNA from 1 species
UGGAAGAAGUUCGGAGUAAAGUCAUUCAUGGCUGGAAGAGGUCUGGAAGAGAUUCGGAGAAUAGUUGAUCACUGUAAAAAAUUAGCUGAUAGUAAAGCCCAGAGAGUAUUUGGAGCAGUCCGAUAGGUGAAUGGGAGAGCUCAUAUUGGAGAAGUCUGGAUGCUGUUAUGGAAGCUCGAACGAUCGAGGGAGUUCAGGAAGAUGCCAUACA